UACGUAGGGCGCAAGCGUUAUCCGGAAUUAUUGGGCGUAAAGAGCUCGUAGGCGGUUUGUCGCGUCUGCCGUGAAAGUCCGGGGCUCAACUCCGGAUCUGCGGUGGUACGGGCAGACUAGAGUGAUGUAGGGAGACUGGAUUCCUGGUGUAGCGGUGAAAUGCGCAGAUAUCAGGAGGAACACCGAUGGCGAAGGCAGGUCUCUGGGCAUUAACUGACGCUGAGGAGCGAAAGCAUGGGGAGCGAACAGGAUUAGACUACCGGU
rnacentral:rRNA from 1 species